rnacentral:tRNA from 1 species
GAAAUAUUAAAAAUUAAGCUUCUAACUUAAUAAUAAGCAAUUCUUGUUUAUAUUUCU